CGUCUAUAUACGUAUAGCAUAUCAAUAAGCGGAGGAAAAGAAACUAACAAGGAUUCCCUAGUAACGGCGAGUGAAGCGGGAAGAGCUCAAAUUUGAAAUCUUAAAGGGUUUCCCUUGCACGAAUUGUAGUUUAUAGAAGUGUUUUCUGUUAGUGGAGUUCGGUAAAAGUUCUUUGGAAUAGGACAUCAUAGAGGGUGAGAAUCCCGUAUUUGGUACCGUUACUUCCCUAGCUGUGUGAUACACUUUCAAAGAGUCGGAUUGUUUGGGAAUGCAGUCCAAAGAUGGGUGGUAAAUUUCAUCUAAAGCUAAAUAUUGGCGAGAGACCGAUAGCGAACAAGUACCGUGAGGGAAAGAUGAAAAGAACUUUGAAAAGAGAGUUAAACAGUACGUGAAAUUGUCAAAAGGGAAGCGUUUGACACCAGUGUUGUUUAGUUCGAAAAUCAAUUACGAAUAGUUUUUGAUUUCUUAGGAGUAUUGACUUCAUCAGGCUUGCUGCUUUCUUCUCAUGAAACUUAUUGAAUGCACUUUUCAGGUUAACAAGUCAACAUCAAUUUCUUUUGUUGUAAAAGGGUAUGAGGAAGGUGGCUUUCUCUUCGGCGCAAGUGUUUAUAGCCUUGUAGCCUCUGCAAUCGGAGAGAUUGAGGUCUGCAGCGUAGAUCCUUCGGGGUUAGAUACAUUGGUGCUAAGCUAUAGCCUUGUAUAGACAACUUGUUGACUAUGCUCAGUCAUGUAGCUUACUCGCUGAUGCUAUUUUACCUACGCUUAGGAUGUUGACGAGACUGUCGAUCUC
rnacentral:rRNA from 1 species